UCCCAGGGAUUCUCAGUGGAUU
rnacentral:miRNA from 1 species